AAAGCAAAUUAUUAGUAAACUUCAUAGGCUAACAAAACAUUUUAAAGUGCAUAACAGCGAAAAAAAUCAAUCUAUAAAUCAAAAUGUCAAUUGCUUUAACCAUCAGCAACAACUUUACCACCAUUUAGAUGUAUGUGCAUGCAAUGCAAUUAUUUAAAUGAAAACUAACUCAUUUUUCGAUAUCUCGGUUACAUAUUUGAUGGAAUCACGCACUAAGACGCUGAAGAGAUAGAGGGAAAUUACUACGUCAUUUUUGUAACUGUUCAAGGACUGCAGAGCUAUAAAGUUUCAGCCUAUGUUGUUCUCAGUCUUGUAAAAUUAUGUGUUUCCUUUGUUUAAUGUUCCAGAAGGAUUUUUGUCUCUUGCACUAUACUUUUGUUCUUGACUGAUUAAUUUCCUUUCAUAGAAAAGCUUUACAUAAAAUUGAACACUGUCAUAGUUGUUCAAUAGUUAUAACUCAUAACCAAGUGGAGAAUCAUUCAUAUUAACCUCAGACUAAAAAACUAGGCAACGAG
rnacentral:lncRNA from 1 species